rnacentral:rRNA from 1 species
AAUAGAUACCCGGGUAGUCCACGCCGUAAACGAUGUCGACUUGGAGGUUGUUCCCUUGAGGAGUGGCUUCCGGAGCUAACGCGUUAAGUCGACCGCCUGGGGAGUACGGCCGCAAGGUUAAAACUCAAAAUGAAAUUGACGGGGGGCCCGCACAAGCGGUGGAGCAUGUGGUUUAAUUCGAUGCAACGCGAAGAACCUUACCUACUCUUGACAUCCAGAGAACUUAGCAGAGAUGCUUUGGUGCCUUCGGGAACUCUGAGACAGGUGCUGCAUGGCUGUCGUCAGCUCGUGUUGUGAAAUGUUGGGUUAAGUCCCGCAACGAGCGCAACCCUUAUCCUUUGUUGCCAGCGGUUCGGCCGGGAACUCAAAGGAGACUGCCAGUGAUAAACUGGAGGAAGGUGGGGAUGACGUCAAGUCAUCAUGGCCCUUACGAGUAGGGCUACACACGUGCUACAAUGGCAUAUACAAAGAGAAGCGACCUCGCGAGAGCAAGCGGACCUCAUAAAGUAUGUCGUAGUCCGGAUUGGAGUCUGCAAC